UAAGUGGUGGAAAUUAAACCAAAUGGGAUAUCUUUAGUAAUUGCGAAUGAACAAGGAUAUGCUUAGCUUGACAAAUGGAGCUAUUGGCUUUGAAUUGUAUUGUGGAAAUGUAUUACCAACAGAGGUGCAGGUGCCAGCCUAUUGAAAUAAAGCGUCAAUGAGGGUGAGAAUCCUGUUUGUCAUGUGCAGCCCUUUGUGCACGGUGUAUAUUUGCUGAGUCACACUCCUUGGCAUUGGAAUGCAAAGUGGGUGGUAAGUUUCAUGUAAAGGUAAACAUGCAAUUGAGACUGAUAGCACACAAGUACCAUGAGGGAAAUAUGAAAAGGACUUUGAAAAGAGAAUUAAAUGAGUUUGUAUUUGCUGAACACAAAGUAAACAGACUUGAUUUGCUUGGUGGGAGUGUUGCACUUGCUUAACAAGAGCUUUGGGCUGUGGGUGUAAUGAUUCUUUCUUUGCAUGCCAGUUUCUAUUUGUACAUCUGAUUACCUUUGCACAUGAAUGAUAAGUCUCCUGUGGGGGGUGGAUUGCAUGUGCAUGUAAUGAUUUGUGUUUUGAUAAAUGUGUCUGGUGUAUGUGUGUGUUCCUGUGCUUGGGGAUGCUUCCUUCCUUGGACUUACAAGCCCUGACACACACAUGCUGGCAAAAUGCUUCUGCUUGACCCG
rnacentral:rRNA from 1 species